UUUAAAAAAAUAUAUUUUUUUAAAAUUUUUAAUUAAUCAUAUCAUGGACUGAAAUUUGUUAGACAACCCAUACGCAAUAUAUUUAUUGACAUAUAAAAUACGUUUCAUCAAAUAAACAACUCGGUGAAGGUCGUUUUAUAUGGGCAUCUUACACUAUAAGUAAACAUUGGAUGUCAAGAAAUAAUAUCCGAUGGAACGGUUUUCAACAACUGUGAAUUGAAAGAAAAACUAAAAAAUAAUGCAUUAAACGUUCCUGAAGCCACUGCCUCGCCAGCAAGAACAGAAGAAAUUCCAUUUUAUUUUGUUGGCGAUGAAGCUUUUGCACUUUCCGAAAAUAUUAUGAAAGUAUAUGCACGAUAUCAUGAACGAAAGAAAUAAUAUACGACUACCGACUUUGCAGAGCUCGUAAAGUGGUGGAAAAUGUAUUCACCAUAUUGUCUGCAGUGUAUGGAGUUUUGCGGAAACCAAUGUUGUUAGAACCGAAAACCGUAUCUGUCGUAACAGCAAUAACAUGCUUUUAAUUUUUUUUAAGAAAAGAUAAUAAUGCUGAUGUAUAUAAACUUGCAGGUAGCUUCGACGAAGAAUACUACGGUCAGGUCAGAUUAGGAAACUGGAGAGAAAUGAACAAUGAUAUUACUAUUAUGUUACCUUUGGAAAUAAGACAAAGUUGAAGAAGGAAGGAAGAAGAAGUUGCUGAAUACUGCAUUCAGCAAGUGUCUUUAAAGUAUCUGUUGUGGCACGAUGUGUAGUGAUCCAGUAAAAAUCUCAUAGCUUUGUAUGCAAACCGAGUACUAUGGUGUGAAAGCAGACACUAUUUAACUUAAUUAGUAGUUCUAAAUAUAUUGGAAGAAAAUAAUGAAUCUUUAAAUUUAUCAAAGCAAAUUGAUCAUGAACAUUGGAAAUUUUAAAUUUAGUAAACUAAGUAAUGCAAAAGAGAAAAAAAUGCCUUGAUAUAAACCACCGAAUUGAAUUUGAUAACUAUAGUAUUUACCAAAACUGCAAAUACUUAUAAAAUGUCUCCCUCAAAGGUAGAUGUAAAUUCUCUGGGAGCAGAUAUAGUCAGAAAUCCAACAAACCUUAAGAACAUGGCACCAGGUAGAGAUGAAGUAAGUUACAUAUAGUCAAUAAACGGUUAAAAACAUUCCUCACUGGACAUAGCUUGUGAGGAUCAACUAUGUGAUUUCCAAUCCAUUUAAUCCUGAAAAAUUGUUUAUAUAUGUGGGGAAUAUAUAAUGCGAAGACUCCAAGAUGGAUAGGUGACUGGAGAUGGCAAUGACAACACCCUUUUGGCAUCAAAUGGACAUGACUGAGCAAAACUGAUUCAGAGAGUACAGACAGAAAGUGAGAAGUUUGAACUACACUUAAAUAUAUCCAAAAGUGAUGAUAAUUUAAUAAAUUUAUAUACCUCAAUCAAGGAGGAAGAGAAAACGAAACCUGGAUGACCAAAGACAAUAUCAAAACUGUUGUGUUUAUGGAAGUGCCAGAAUAUUCCUAAUUAUUGAACUUAAGAAGAAAUUGUUUGAGACUGCUAUUUCCGAUUCCAAAAGAUUAACAUAAAAGAGAUAAAGUGUGAAUAGUGAUUGUUUUGAUUCAAAUAGUGGAUUUAUUUAAAAAUAAAUCCUCGAAGAGAUCUACGGAGAUUUCUAUCCGAUUUCUUAGCUCGUAACAAUAGAUGAGUUUGGGGAAAAAGUCUUUUCGCAUUAUAAAGAUACCGGCAAACUUCUCGAGCAUUAAACAAGGGAGUGGGGGAAAGGUUGCGCAUCGUACACAGCGCGGGACGAACGUCUACUGAUCUACCAAUCACGGCGGUCGCGGUCACGGUCAUUCUCCAGCUGUUUAUUUAUUGUGAUACACAAUUUUAGCCGUGUCCAUAUCAGUAAACUGUUGGAUUUUCUUGACUGCAUAUGCCGCAGAGCUUAGCCUAUUCGAAAGAGUCCCUAUGUGAGAAAAACAGUUUUGUCAACAAAGUUUAGUUCACUACCUUUUACUUUCAGGUUAGGAAUAUCUCGCUUCACGCUAGUAGUUGUAAAUCUAAUAAAUUUUGUUUUAUUCUCAUUAAGCAGUAAGAGCAGUAUUAAUAUUUACAUUAAAACUAUACAAGAGAUACAAUUAUUUACAUCGUCUUGCUUGAAGCUUGCCACAGCUCCGUGUGCGUUAAAGUCACCAAGUAUCACGACUUAUACAGACGGGAUUUUAACCAGCAGGCAAUCUAUAGCCAGUUGGAAUUGCUCAAUGAGUCGAUAAGUUUCGUCAUUUCGGCUACCUUGGUACCUAUAUAGACAGGCGUAGAAUCGUGGAUGGUCAUUGCAGUAGCCAGAUGAUAGAUAAGUCCAUACGUUGGAGUGUCCGAGGCGGCGAGAACAAAUAUCCUCUCUGACGCACGCGCACUUCCCUACGCGGCACAAUGGAAUGUUCCAAUUUGUACCCUGGAUAGGAGAUCAUUAUCUUCCACUCGAAGAAAGAGAAAGAAGAUAAAAUCUACAAAUGUGGAACGUCACUUAAACGGUUAAACUUUUAGUGAUGACUAAGAAGACUUCGUAUAUGUUGGCAAUCAUAAAUUCACAUUCAUUUUUAAAAGCAGUGUAUAGAUUCUUAGUAGCUCUGGCUAUAUAUCGUGGAAAGGAUCUCUGCAACUACUCGACAGAAAUAUCGAACGAUAAGUGGGCGCUUGCGCCGUCGUCGUUAGGCCAACAUCCAAUCCAUCCAAACCGUGGCUGCUAUACCAUGAAAAAAUCCAUUCCCCAUAUUGGAUAAAAUUAUUCCCAAUUGCCGUUAUUUGUCGAAAUCUAUGUGGGAGGACGUCUAGACGUGUGGACGUAUGUGGUUGAUAUGAUGAUGAUGAUUCGCAAUUAAUGACGAUUACAACGUCAUACUACCGGUUCGAACGUCGAGGGGAAGCCCACGACAAACAGAAUAUAAUUUUUUUUUAAAUUUUUCUGAAUGUUUUAUAAAAUAAGUGAAAAAAUUGCCAAUUUUCAUCAAACAGGUAUGCUCUGCUGAGAGAAGAGGAAGAGUACUGGCCUAGGCUUUAAUUGUGUUGCCUAGACAUCUAAUAGAAACCGCGGAGAUCCCAUGUCUGUAUAAUAUGUUUUUUAAUUUAAUUUAGUAAAAAGUUUGAAAAAUG